UUAGGACGUGGAUACCCCCGAGAAAUUGGGGUUAAUCCGCGAUAGGUGUAAUGUCCUGGAAUGGUAUUACGCCUAAAGGUGUAUCAUACAUGUUGAUAUACGCCUAAGGAUGGGGCUGCGGCCGAUCAGGCUGUUGGUGAGGUAAUGGCUCACCAAACCUUUGACCGGUACGGGCCAUGAGAGUGGUAGCCCGGAGAUGGACACUGAGACAAGGGUCCAGGCCCUAAGGGGCGCAGCAACCGCGAAACCUCCACAAUGCACUCACGUGCGAUGGGGCUAUCUCGAGUGCCACCUGAUGAAGGUGGCUUUUCCUAGGUCUUCAAAGCCUUGGGAAUAAGAGGGGGGCAAGACUGGUGUCAGCCGCCGCGGUAACACCAGCCCCUCGAGUGGUGGGGAUGAUUAUUUGGCCUAAAGCGUCCGUAGCCGGCCGAGCAAGUCUUCCGUUAAAUCCAGCGUCUCAAGCGUUGGACUGCGGGAGAUACUACACGGCUAGAGAGUGGGAGAGGUCAGCGGUAUUCUGGGGGUAGGGGCGAAAUCCUUUGAUCCCCGGAGGACCACCAGUGGCGAAGGCUGCUGACUAGAACACGUCUGACGGUCAGGGACGAAAGCUGGGGUAGCGAACCGGAUUAGAUACCCGGGUAGUCCCAGCCGUAAACGAUGCAUGCUAGGUGUUGGGUUGGCCACGAGCCACCCCAGUGCCGCAGGGAAGCCGUUAAGCAUGCCGCCUGGGAAGUACGAUCGCAAGAUUGAAACUUAAAGGAAUUGGCGGGGGAGCACCACCAGGCGUGAAGCCUGCGGUUUAAUUGGAGUCAACGCCGGAAAGGG
rnacentral:rRNA from 1 species